rnacentral:rRNA from 1 species
AUGGAUGAUGGAACUGGUGGUGUUCAAGAAUCAAGUGACAUGUCAAUUUCAAGCGAUGAUGACACCAAUAAGCAACGGAAUGAAAGCAAUGUGGAACUUGAACAUGACCUUGGUGAAGCUCAACCAGAUGCCUUACUUGGAGACCCUAAAUUGGGAAUGACCUUUGAUAUUGAGAAUGAGGUGCGAGAGUACUACAACAACUACGCUAAAGCAAAGGGCUUUGAGGCGCCUUCUGAUGGGAAGACAACAAGUAAAACUAUACUAAGUCCAAUAGCUGUUAGAUGUGCUGGACGUCCUCCUUCAUUGAGAAAAGAAUCCAAGGUUGAUAAGCUUAUUCGUCAAGCAAAUGAAAAGAAGAAGAAAGCUGAACUAAGGGAGAAGAAAAAGGCUGCACAAGAAGAGAAGAAGGCUGCACAAAAGGAA